GAUUAACGCUGGCGGCAUGCUUAACACAUGCAAGUCGAACGGCAGCGAGUUAUAGGGUAACCUAUAAUGUCGGCGAGUUGCGCACGGGUGAGUAAUGCGUAGGAAUCUAUGGUAAAGCUGAGGAUAGCCUGUGGAAACAUAGGGUAAUACUGAAUAAUCCGUCAUUGGUAAAGCUGGGGACCUUAUGGCCUGGCGCUUUAUGGUGAGCCUACGUUAGAUUAGCUAGUUGGUGGGGUAAAAGCCUACGAAGGCGAGGAUCUAUAGCUGUUCUGGUGAGAAGGACAGCCACACUGGGAAUGAGACACGUCGCAGACGCUUACUGGAGGAAGCAGUGGGGAAUAUUGGAAAAUGGGCGAAAGGCUGAUCCAGCAAUGCCGCGUGUGUGAAGAAGGCCUUCGGGUUGUAAAGCACUUUCAAUAGGGAGGAUGUUAACUAUGUUUAAGAGAUGUAGUUAAUGACGUUACCUAUAGAAGAAGCACCGGCUAACUCUGUGCCAGCCGCCGCGGUAA
rnacentral:rRNA from 1 species